GACGAAGGGGGCUAGCGUUGUUCGGAAUUACUGGGCGUAAAGCGCGUGUAGGCGGUUGUUCAAGUCAGGUGUGAAAGCCUUGAGCUCAACUCAAGAAAUGCACUUGAUACUGGAUGACUAGAGGACCGGAGAGGAUAGUGGAAUUCCCAGUGUAGUGGUGAAAUACGUAGAGAUUGGGAAGAACACCAGUGGCGAAGGCGGCUAUCUGGGCAUUUCCUGACGCUGAGACGCGAAAGCGUGGGGAGCGAACCGG
rnacentral:rRNA from 1 species